rnacentral:lncRNA from 1 species
AUUACAUAAAAUAUGAUAUAAUUUAAAUAUUAUAGAUAUCAAAUUGUAUGUUAUUAUGGAAUUAGGUAUUUCUAGUUGAGGGUGAAACUCUAAAGAGCUCUCAUUUCCUCAGUACGAUUGGGAGUAAAAAGGAGAAACAAAAGGGAUUUUCUUCAAAAAAAAAAAGAGGGAAAAUAGAAAUAGGAAACAAGAAAGGAGAUCCAAGUGGCCAUGUGCCUUAUGAUCUUCUACAUGCUCAGCCUACCCUCAUGGGUCGAAACUAGGAGCAGGACAUCUUUAUACCUAAAAGAGGAAGAAGAGUAAAUGAG